rnacentral:lncRNA from 1 species
AAUAUCAGCCAAAGUAUUGUUAAAAUACUUUUACGAGAGGGUUUUAUCGAAAACGUGAGAAAACAUCGAGAAAACAACAAAUCUUUUUUGGUUUUAACCCUACGACAUAGACGGAAUAGGAAAAGGACUUAUAGAAAUCUUUUAAAUUUAAAACGGAUCAGUCGGCCGGGUCUACGAAUCUAUUCUAACUAUCAAAGAAUUCCUAGAAUUUUAGGUGGGAUGGGGAUUGUAAUUCUUUCUACCUCUCAGGGUAUAAUGACAGACCGAGAGGCUCGACUAGAAAGAAUAGGCGGAGAAAUUUUGUGUUAUAUAUGGUAAUCCUUCUAAUAUCCGAAUUCAAUACGAAACUUCUUAUUUGUGAAAAAGAAAAGAGAAGGGGUGAAACAGCAAACAGAAGACUCUAAUCACUAGAAGGAAGCUAGGCAGGAGCCAUUCAAAGCUUCGAGUUACCUCAGCUUGAGAGCGCUAGAUAGAAGGAGUUCAAAUGCAUUCGAUCCCCUUAUAUAGAUCCAGACGAGAAGACGCAAAGAUGCUCUUAUCAUCUAUACUGCCUUUUGCAUCUUCCUUGAAGGUUCUAGCAGACGAAGACGGAAGACAUUGAUCUAGUUAUCUUUGUCUCUAUCCUCUUUCUAAAGAUNUUGCGCGGCUUUCUCUUAUACUUAUAGGGGUCUAUUUUCUCUGACUUGACUCAGCUUGACCUACUUGACUCAGCGGUUAGAGUAUCGCUUUCAUACGGCGAGAGUCAGUCAGAAGGAUCAAAAAACUAAUUCAUACAGGGCCAUAGAACCGGCCCAACCAGCAACCAAAGCUGUAUGCAUUAUAUAAACAGAAAGCAACCGUCCGGGAUCAUUCAAUACAACGGUAUGAACACGAUACCAAGGCAAACCCAUGGAAAUACCCCUUUAUGAAAGAAAAAAGACACUACGUAACUUUAUUGCAUUGGAAAUAUACUAUGACUAUGUUAUGGACCCCCUCUUUAGUGGAUUAUUUCAACGCAAGGGUUCAUAUUUGUUCUAUUCUGUUGGUAAUAAUGGAACAAUUUUAUUUCUUGGUCCAUUGAUAUCGAUCAACGAAAUAUNACAAGCGAGAUAUGCAGCAACAAGAAGAAGGAAAAGGAUUGCAUAGAGGAACUCCCGAACAUUUGUCAGAUGUGUCGAUAUCAAUGGUGACUCAUUAUUUCGAUGAAUCAUUUCUUCGGACAGAAGAAGAUUAUGCAAACACUUACUCGAAAUCUCACUUAUCAGAUUCCUUUGUGGAAGACAGAAUUUUUUCUGAAGAAUUCGCCAUGAUAUAUUUGAUCCAUGCAUAAUAUCAUGAAAAAUGGAUACAAAUUUUUGACUGCUACUUAGUAUCGGCAAUAGGUCUGAAAAAGUAUCUAAAAAUAAAAACUUUAGAUAUCUGUACCCUGUCGAAGUAAGGAACCAUGGCAUAUAUGUUUGGAAUAGAUUCCAUUUUGAGAGAGUUGAAUAAGCACUAUCUCGUUGAAAAGUUCUAUACAUCUGCCCUUUCUCAACGCAUUUCUUUAGACAAAGACUCCGUUUUUUCCUCUUUUCGGAUGGUAAAUAUUUCUCAUAACAUGGAGUGUGAAUCAAACCCAUGUUUGAAUUGAAAUUGAGAUACUGAUACAAGUUCUUCCCUUCUGAAUCAGAUAGAUUCAUAUCUGAAAGAGGUUGACAAUAAGUUCUUUCAAAAUUGACUAUUUGUCCCUCUGUUAGAGGUGUUCCAGAAAUGUCUGCGAUCGAGUAAAUAGCUCUACGAACGAAUGGAUUGGAUCGACUUGGAAAAUGGAAAGAUUUGUACAAGUUAUACGUUUCGUCACCACUUUGUGGAAAAGCCUUAGGUAUGAAUAUGUUAGAUACCUGUGACUCGAUUGCUGAAAUAGUAUCUCUCCCCCAAAAAGCAUGUUUUUUUUUACCGACGCACAAAGAAAAUAUUUUGUUGCGAAUGAACAAGAUAUUGAGGAAUUGUCCAUACGUAAAAUCAUAAUUAUUGAUACGGGCCUUUUCCACAUAAAAGGGGAAUCUUUUGUUACAAUAGAAGCAGAAGUGAUGUGGAUUAUUCAAGAAUCGAAGUUGAUUUGCUUUAUAAAAAGAAGAUCCCCUUUUCACCAAGGAAGGGACGAGCCGCAUUGACGAUGAAGAAAAGGUAACACGAAAAUAGAACAACGGGUCUUUCUUUUCGGUCUUUACUGAAACACAUACACAAGCUUCGUCUCAUGCAUGAUCUUUUCAGAGCACGGGUCGGGAGGAAAUUGCAAAAAUGCCACUGGAGUGUGAUUGAUAUCUUAGAGAAGCUGGUAAAGUAAAGACAGUCUCUUUCGAAAGUAAUGGUGGCUAGGAAUGGCUUCAGUCAGGUCAUCGAUUCACCUUAUGGUCGACUUGCUUAAAUCGAAGAAGAAUAAACCCCCGGACUAGAGCCUGAAGUGCUUCUCCCCCAUGAAUGUGAUCAACAUAUGACUUUAUGGCUUACCAAUUCGGACUUAGAACACCUUAAUCAUGAUUUUUGAGGCGUAAACAUGAGUUUACUGCCCAAGAACAUGCUUGGGCCGUAAACUCAUCCUCAUGGAGAGUAAACUCAUUUUCAAGUGUUUAAAAGCCAUGUAAACACACCAUUAGCCUUGGAAUAAAUCCUAGAACCAACCAAAAUCAAUUUGGGGACCUUAAACAUGAUAAAAACUCUCCAUUUGAGAGUUUACGGCCAUAACCCCCCAAGAAUAGGUUCCAGGGCCGUAAACUCAUAAACAUAGGUCAAAUGGUGCCUAAAAUUCAUCCUAAGGCUUGUAAAAAUUGUUUGAAUCACAUGCGAUUGGUCUAAGGCAAUUAAAUCAUCAAUCUAAGAGGGAUAUAGGAGCUUACGGCCGUAAACUCCUUUUUUAGGGCCGUAAACUCCCAAUUAAUGGUAUUUUUGGUGAUUUAAUUCAUUCCUAAGCCUUAGAUAAAUUUAUCCCAUCAUCCCUCAAGUGUUAUUGACCAUUUAGCACCAUAAAACCCUCAACCAUGAGUUCAUGGCCGUGAACUCAUGUGGUUAAAGUGUUUAGGGCCGAAAACUCCAUAAGAAGUUUACUCUUGAAGAGUAAACUCAUUUCCCAAGUCCCACACGUCCUUAAAUGUCACCCGGGUCAUUCCAAACACUUAUUUUGAAGUGUUUUCGCGUCUUGGAGUAUAUAAUCAUAUCUAAUUAGUGAUUUAAAAUCUAAUUAGAUAUAUUUGUAUAUCAUUUCAUAUUACAUAGGAAUCUCGCAUGUUAACAAGCCCCGAACCAACGCUUAGCAUUCAAAUCGUCGUGUUUUCUCGUCUGGUGAGUUCAUACCCCUACCCUUUUUCAAUGGUUUUUCAAUGUUUUCAGGGGGGGAAUACAAGCAAAAGUACAAGAAUAUCUUGUACUUAAAUUCAUUAUUUCAUUUAAAUGGUUUCAUAAUUCGUACACUUUUAAGAAUUGAAAACAUAUUAACAAACUGUUUUGACUUGCAGAGUUGUUGUUCAAACCGAUUUCAAUUCUUAUUAUACAGUAUUAUACUUUAUACUUCAUAAUUGAUUGUUCACACUUUUACAGUUGAAAUCAUAGAUCUUUACUAUGGUCCUUAUUAAAACACCCCUAGAUUCGAGUGUGAAGGACAGGUAAUCAUUAGAAGUUCAGUCAGGUCCUUGAUAGUACUCCUCCUAGAUACGAGAGUAAAGGACUAAUAAAAACAGGGUUUCCAUAUUAAUAACUUUCAGUAUUAAAUUCAUUAAUCUUAAGAUUGGAGACACGUACUUUGUAACACUUCCCUUAGAUACGAGAGUGGAGGACUACCCCCGUAACCAGAAUCUCCGGAAAAUGGGAGAGCGUGAAUUGAGUGUAUAGAUCUAUACAGGACUGACUAUCCCGCACCUGGCUGCUAGCUAUAGCCGAACCGAAAGGUUCAAGGAUGCCGAAAGUCAUAAAAAGAUACUGGCCCUGGUCCGAGUCAUAUCUAGUCUGUAGCAUGGUUAUGGAACUCGCAAUCAAGAUUAUGAAUAUUUUACACUUAAUUAUUAGUUUUCUAUAUGUGUUAAAACUAAGGUACAUUUAAGGAUAAUCAGACUUUCAAGAGACUCCACACACACACACUUUAAGCAUGGUAGACAUUUGUACAUUUCUUCUAGAUUCGUUAACAUUUCACAAACAUUCAGGAAAAUAUGGGAUUUUCCUGGGGAUAACAUUUGUACAUAAUUCAGAAACGUGUAACAAAUCGGAUAUCUAAACUAUACAAUACACAAGGGUAAACAUGUUUUCAGUAUACAUCUUUUAUAUUACCUUUCGGAUUUGAUAACCAACUUUUAGGAAAAUAUAGGAUUUUCUUGGUGUAACAACUGUUCAUAACUAGAAUUGUAAUAUAACCAAGGUUGUAGAACUCGCUACCCGGUACCUGCUCGGCCGACUGAGGAGUAGCGAGUACUCGGGAGUACUCGGGGAGUACUCGGAUUCGGUAAUUCGUGUAGAAAUAUUUUUUGGAAAAUUAUAUAUGCCAAAAUCAUAAGUUAAAAUCAUAAUUUGAUUGAAAUAUAUAACUAAAAAUAGAUACAUGUGAAUACAUAAAAACUGAAAUACGCACAAUUGUCUCACCAUGUGACUAAUUACCGAAAAUUUAAGAUAUAUAUGUAGUAAUAAUCACAUGUGUGUGUGUAAAUGUAAAAUUUCACGAAAUAUCUUCACCUCAGAUUUACGGAUAUAAACAUAAAAAGUUGUUAAAAUACAAAGGUUUUUCAUCUCAAUAGAACAUACACUUUAAACUAUAAUAUGUAUAGUUUAUGGAACAUACAUAUCAUUUUACUAGUCAGGGAUACACUACAAAAAUAAUUAUAUAAAAGUAUAAUUAUUUACACUGUGAUUACACUAAGAAAUGAGACAUACAUACAAUUUAUUCAUUACAAAAUGGCUUUUAAUUAUUCUACACUUAACCGUUAAUAUAGGUUUCUGAGACACGCUUCAAUUACUUAUCCAAGUACCAACGAAAGUCCUGAAUUAUAACCAGAGUCUCCUAAAGGGAGAGCGUGACACUUGUGUAUAGAUCUAUACGUGACUGACAAUCCCGCACCUAAACUGUUAGCUACAGUUAGACCGGUAGGUCUGGGGUGACAAAUGUCGUACCAUUUCCGAUGCCUGAAGAAUGUCGUAUCAGGAAUUCUUAGGUAAUCAAGCAUGGUUAUAAUAACUCAUAAUUUGGUAUUAACAAUAUGAUUAGUGUACGAAUACAUAAAUAACUUCAAAUAUUUUUAUUUAAUAAUAAAACUACAAUACAACAUUUUACAGUACAACUGGUGAAUCCAGGAACAUAUAUUCAUAGAGUUUCAUACAAGUACAAUUAUAAUAUACUAUUUUCCAAUACUAGAGGAACUUUCACUUCGGGAAACAUCCAUUUUACGGUUUUAUGUGAAUUAAAACUAUGUUAUACCAUUUUAGAGUACAGCAACACUUACACAUUUUGGUCUUAAGGUAUUAAGACAACAAUUCAUUUACAACAGAAAAUAUUUGAUUUUUUGGAAGAACACACUUACAUUUUUCAAGGAACAAAUGACAGAAUUUUAAUACAAAAAUGCUUAUGAACUUAUUAACUUAAUUGUUGACACUCUUUUCAAAACCACUUGUAUUCUCAGGGAAUCAGUAGACAGGUACCCAUACAGGUUUUAAGAAGACGGAGCAUCAUAGUGUCACGUCUUUUAGUUUUUGCUAUAUACUUUUGGUGUCAAGUAUACAAUGAUUUGAACAAAAAUGUAAAAACUAUACAUUAUCAAUAUGAUCGUUGUUGUGCUUUGAUUUCUAUUAUUUAAUUGUUAUGAUAUUGUACAUGACGUCAUCCUCCCCCGAACGUUUCCGCCGUUUUGAUUUGGGGGCGUGACAAAACAUGGGAGAAAUCACCGUCAUCCUCAAACAGACAUCCCUAUCGGAGCACUUGCCGCCUUGCAGCUCAAGGCAUCGACCACCAUGUUGGCCUUCCCUAGAUGGUAUAAAAUCUCGUAGUCAUAAUCUUUCAGCACAUCCAACCACGUCCUUUGUCGCAUGUUGAGGUUCUGCUGAUCCAUCAAGUACUUCAAACUUUUGUGGUCAGUAAAGAUGAUGAACCGGACUCCUUACAAGUAAUGCCUCCAAAUUUUGAGGGAAAACACAACCGCCCCCAAUUCCAGGUCAUGAGUGAGGUAGUUCGCCUCGUGAGGCUUCAGUUGCCUUGAGGCGUACGCGAUCACACGCCCCCUCUGCAUCAAAGCUGCCCUAACCCCGAGAUAGACGUAUCACAAUACACCACCAAAUCAUCCAAUCCAUCGGGUAGUACUAAAAUCGGGGCCUCACAUAGCCUCUGUCUCAAUGUCUCGUAAGCCAUUUGUUGAUCUAAUCCCCACCUAAAUGUCACAUUCUUCUUGGUCAAGCGAGUUAAAGGUACCACAAUCUUGGGGAACUCAUUAAGCUUUGUGCUUAUAGUUUAUGUUUAUGGUUUCAAGUAUUUUUGUUUCCAAAAGGAAGGGCCCAACUUGAUCACACCGCAUCCCCUAGGGUUUUAUUCCGCAUUGAAUGUUUAAAAAUAACUCUGAUGUUUUGAGAAUACUUUGACUCUGAUCGUCUACUAUAACAAUGAAGGAAUGGAUUUAACUUCUAUAAAAUGAAAAAUUUACUCGGUAUUUUUGGGACGUGACAAGUUGGUAUCAGAGCCUUGGUUUGAGGGAUUCAAGCACACUCUCGGGUGUGACCGAACUCAAACUAAGGAAUUAGUAAUUUUUCUGAAAGGAAAUAAGUUUCUAAAAAGAUUUUUAUAAAGAAAAAAGGGGUGUGAUGCAUGCAAUCAGCCGAGUUUAAGUAAGUAUUUCACGAAAUACCUGUACAUGAUGAUAUGUAAUGUUUGCAUGCUAGGAUAAGGCUAAUGAUACCUUCAUGAAUUUCAUGAUAGGUUGGCCUAGGAGGAAUUGGAUGCUAGGAUAGAUUUGGAAUAUAUGUUGAUGAAAGUGAUUGCUAAGUGUAUGAUUUAAAAGUUGUAUACGAUUAGGAUCGUAUAGCCCUAGAAUGAUCGAUUUAGCCUCAUUUCAUGUUCCUUAUUUGUUUGUGGACUUAGGGUAGAAUUAUCAUUUAACAGUCUAUGGGAUCCCAUUUUGUGUAUAACUUGCAUGCAUAAUGCAAACGACAAUGUUGGUUGAGAUUCUUUGUAUGGUAUGGGCGGUCAGAUNAUAUAUGUUGAAGCUCCGCCACUGUAUAGCCCUAGUUGAUUAUGAGGUUUUGAGGGCCUUGCUCGAGGUAGUGUCAGUUGAGUCAUGAGACUCAAGAAGAAAGCAAUUGUGAUGAUCAGCUCAAGGAUUGCAGCCAGAGGUUGGGUAAUUGGAAGAGGGAUUGAGAUAUCACUAUCUACACUGAGGGUUUUGUUCUUCCAACUUUCCAUAUCCGAAGGAAAGAUAGAGCAGAAAUGAGAUUUUCAGAGUUGGGAUGUAGAACCAACAUGGGGCUAGAUGGUUUGUGGUUUGUUAGCGACAAGUAUGGUAGUGUGGGAAUGCACAAGAGGAUUCUUGUGGUAUGGUUACCUUGAGAUAAGAUCAAGGGUCUGCUUUCUUUGAAUUUAGUUAGAUAUGGUACUAGUUUAUUGUUCUAGGUUAUCAAGGAAGGGGAAUUAGGGGCGACAAAUUUUGUUGUCUCUGAUGAAUCCUAACUAUAAGAACACUGUCCCUGGUAUUUAUGAAUGAUCCUCACAAUGAAUUGAUGGUUAGGAAUUGCAGACGAUGAGUGUGGCAAUGCAUUUCUUUCUAGAUAGGAAGUCGGUGUUAUAAAUGGACUGUCAGAAUUAUAGUUUGUGCAUCCGCAUGAGAUUCUUGAUGUUAGAGGCGGUUAUGAUUUGGAGGUUACCAAGUUCUCUAUCUGAGAUUCAGAAUCACUUUGAGUUUUCUUGGUCUUUAUCUGGAAGAUCAUCUUGCAUUGUAUUAUACAUUCCAAGGGUCAGGAAUGCUAUGUAUUUGGUUUAGUCGAUUUGAGUGUUGGUUGGUUUGCAAGUCAGUUGGUGAUGGUUCGAACCCUAAGUGAGGGAGUACUGAGUAGUCAGCUGGAAGAAUCAUCGAUCUGUUCGAGGUUGAGUUUGGAAUAAUAAGUCACAAGAACCUGCGGUUCGGGUAUGCAAGACCUUGGUUCAAACUUUAGUUGAGACGAAAGUAUAGAGCAAGCUGCAAUCAGAGCUAUGUGCUCAAGAAUGUACGAGUGGUCUUCACAAAAGGAAGCUGUUAGACAAGGAACUCGCUGUAGCUAGUGGUUUCUAUCAGGAAUGUUGAUGAAUAGAUCAAGAGGCGGUUGAGUCGCUUAGGUUAAGUUUCGGUUAUUGAUGGAUUUGUCAGCUUGUUGUAUAGAUUGCUUGUUGUAUAGAUUGCUAUCAACUUUAGUGUUAAAUAUAUUUACUUCCAUAUUGGGUUUGAUUCAGUAGUGUAUUGGAUCAUUGGGUUAGUUGUUAAUGCAUCCUCGAUCGUUGGCCAUUUUGUUCAUCAUCUGUAGCGGAGAUUCUUCAGAAGUGUCGAAUUGUAUUAGUUGAGGUUUAAUGGACGCGUCAACCUAUCAUCAAGUUCGGAUCAGGUUUGAUAGAUGUCCUCGUAUAUCAUCAAAUAUGUUUUUCACACAUAGUCUAGACAAUAAGCAUAUAGCUCACAUAUAAACUCUUUCACAUAUAUUUAAUAUUUUAAUUAAUACUUGUAUUAAAAUCAUGUUCAUGAAAGAGACUAUGCACUCACCUGACUUAGGUGGGUGACUAUAGAAUUUGGCUACGCUCCGCCUAACACCUUGACUCUUCCCUUGAUGUGAUCUAGGUACGAAUGCCACUGAGUCUUAGUUUUAUAUUCUUAGCGACUAAUGAUAGUCCAGAUUCCUCACUAAUUCCAAUGUCUACAUCAAGAUCUAUCAAGUAAGGAACAACUAGGUAGGAUCAUAUCGGAGGUAUGGUUCGUUUGGUAUACAUAAUAUACUGUUUGGAAAUCCCACUUUAAACACCUCACUAAAUCCAACCUAUACAUCACUCUCGUAAGUAGCUUAAUUAGUUUUCAGUUGGUCCUACAACAAUGAUAUCUUUUAUUUAAACUCCAGAACGUUUUCAGUGCAUUCCGGAGGUGGUCUAUGAAUUAUGGAACAAUAACAUUAGAAAAAUAGGAACCUUAAACAAAAAAGGAAAACGAAGAACGUAGGUCGUAGUUCUCGUCUUCCAUGUCGGAGAUGGGAUGCGUGCCGGAGAUGGGAGUUGAGUCGAAAUGAGUCGAAAUUGAGUCGGAACGUUGGAAUCGGAAUGCGCCUUUCCGGAAUCGUCGCCUUAAAUUAUAUUUCGGAUUUUGAAAUUCAAAUGCGGAUACAUAACAUAUACGGUUGAUUCGGAAUAGACAUUCGAGACCCAAUACAAUGAGUUGGGCCACCCGAAAAAUAAUCCGAAAUACAUUUUAGAACGACCCAUUCUGGAAUAUGAGGUUAUUUUGCAAAAAAUAUUGUAUUUAAAAGAAAGCCAAAAAAAAUGAUUAGAUUACUCAAUUACCCUUACCUAAAUUGUAUAGGUCAACAAAAAAUGAUGCAGAAGGAGUCGAAGGAAAUAAAUAUAUAAAUGUGAGUCCCAAUUUUUUUUUCACAUGAUCGGUGGUUGUAAAUCGUAAUAAACGAUUUUCGUAGGAAAAAAAAUGUGUGAAUAAUUAAUAUGCAGAUUUAGAUAGAAAAAGAUUUUAAAAAAAAAAGGCAAGCAAUACACGAAUAUCUUACGGUCUUACCCACUACAGUUGGUUACAUAUUUUUAUUGUAGGCCGUCCUUACUAAACAUUUAAAUAUAUCUAAAUAUUGUAAUACAAAACUAGAAUUUGAAACCCAAAAGUUACGGUAUGACCCUGAUGACAAGUUUGUCAAAGUCAAGUUCAUUGUAAACCAAACAAUACGUCGAAUUUCCAACCAAAAUUAGGAAUCAACAGGCCGACACUCAUGCCCCAUUCCUACACCUGUCACUAUAAAAUUCACUUGAGAACAAAGGAUUCAAAUUGAAAAUAAUAAAUCAUACCAGCAACCGGGAGUGGUCGUGUCGCAAGAGACUAUGAAAUUCUGGAAAAGGGCUUCCGGAGCACUAAAAGAUCGCAGAAGUCUUCUGAAGGCGAGCUUCACUCAACGAUCCACUUUUCGAAAUCCCGACAUAGAAGCGGUGGUCAUCAAAGCCACCACGCAUGACGAAACCCGUGUUGAUUACCGUAAUGCUCAACGUGUAUUUGCCUGGGUGGGGAUCUCUGAUGACUAUCUGCGCCAGGUGUUGUGGGCCCUUACACACAGGAUGUGGAGGACCCACAACUGGGUGGUGGUGUUGAAGGGACUCAUGCUUUUGCAUGGAGUUUUCUGUUGUAAAGUUCCUGGAAUUCAAGAGAUAGGACGGUUACCUUUUGAUAUGAUGAACUUCAAAGAUAAGCAUACAAGGCGUGGGAAAUUAUCCGGUUUGAACGAGUUUAUCCGUGCGUAUUAUGUUUUUCUGGAUGAGAAAUCGUCCUUCAUAUUCUUCCAUUCGCAGGAACAAAGAGAUCGAAGGGUCAAGGAACAGAUGGCCUUGCUAUCACGAGAUGGAUCGACUGAUGAGCAAAAAGAGAAAUCGACAAUCCAAGAUCUAAUUUGGUUGCAGAAACUACAAGGAUUACUCGAUUUGUUACUUCAGAUCCGACCUAAAUCUAGGCAAAUGGUCAACUUGCUUGUUCUUGAAGCCAUGGACUGCAUCGUAAUCGAGUUUUAUGAUAUAUGCGGCCGCAUUAGCAAUGGAAUCGGAAGUGUUCUUAUGACGAUUUACUCCGUGGGGAAAAACGACGCCAAAAUGGUGUUGUCAAUCAUGCAGAAAGCCAAAGUUCAACAUGAACAACUCUCGCUUUAUUUUGAUUUUUGCAGGGAGAUCGGUGUUGGUAACGCCUCUGAAAUCCCCAAAAUGGAACAAAUGCCUGAAGAAGGUAUUCAAAAACUGGAACAGAUAAUAAAUAAAGAUCCAGAGCAAUUCAAACUUGAACAAGAACAGGAGAAAUCCAUAAUUGUUAUGGAGCACCAUGAUUCGACGAAAACACCUAAUCUCGACAACUCAACAAGUCUGAAGACUAUGAUAAGCGAUGAUUGGGAGGUUUUUGAAAGCAAACAGAUGAAAUCAAAUAAGGAUCCUGAGCUUAUCGAUCUGUUUUCUCCUCCUGGGAAGAACAACAUCAAAAUCAAUCAUUUAGUGCAAGAAAACACCAUUGAAUUUCCGGAUCUAAUUAGCUUAUGAGAUGCAACUAGUUAGUUCAGAUCCAAAACAACAAAAGGAAAUUUUGAAGAAGAAAUUGUAACCUUUUCUCGUCCGUAUAUGAAAUGGAUUCAUAAGAUACAAUGCGAUGUUUCUUUCAUAACAGAUGUUAUAAGAUAGCAGAGAGUGUUUGUUCAUGGUUAUUGAUGGAAACCGUACCUUUUAAUUUGUCUUAUAAAGUUUCCAUACUUUAUUUUUUUAACUAGUGUCUAAGGUUUGGGGGAGUGAUCCUGUCUUCCGGUGCAGUUUUGCCACCGUGACAGGUGAACACCGUCCACUGGGCGUGGUUUGGACUGCAGUGUNNNNNNNNNNNNNNNNNNNNNNNNUAUAUAUAUACACUCACUCACUCACUGGUAUUGUGUUACUAUCCAAUUUCUAUAGGUCUUUUUUAAAAUCUGUUUUCUUUAUUUUCAUCUUUCCAAAAAUCCCGAAUCCUUCCCUUCCCCUUUGGCGCGUCUACCACCAACCAAAAUCCACCACCAUAGCCGUUCUCCGCCGGUCGCGACCUCCAUUGCCGUCACUCCUCUUUUUCACCAUCGCCUUCCUCCUCUAACAACUUGGAUAUAAAUUGAAGUCUAUUAGCCGUUAGGAAUAACUUUUAGGGGGUGUUUGGAUAAGGAAAAAAUGACUGCUUAUUAGUUUAUUGCUUAUUCUCAUCACAAUAAGCUAAUUUAAGUGUUUGAAUAGUAAGCUUAAAAAAUCAGCUUAUUGUGGUAGGAAUAAACAAAAUAAGCUGAUUUUAAUAAGCAGUGGGAGGAAUGCUUAUUGCUUAUUUUUAAUGAUUUCGGAAAUUACCUAAUUAUCGUUUCAAAAAACGAUACAUAAAACCCAUAAACCCUUCAAAAUCGAUCGUUUGCUUCACCAAUAUUGUUGUUGCCGAUCGCUAUUCCACCUUCUCCCUAGGCCAUCGUCCCUGGAAGCCAUCGACAAUCAGGUAUGCUGCUUUGCUUCUCUUUUUUUCUCUUCUGCUAUCGUUCCUGCAACAUGUUUGCCUUUUUUUUGAUCGGUGAUGCAAACACACGAGGAGCCAUUGAUUGUUCUUCAUUCUUGAUGGAUCUUUUUAUUUGCUGCCUAUCUAUGUUAUUGUUCCCUUUUUUCUCUUCUGCUACCGUUUCCUGCAACAUGUUUGUGUGUGUGUUUUUUUUUUUUUUUUUUUUUUUUUUUUUUUUUUUUAAAUUUAAUUGGUGAUGCAAACACAGACAAGGAACCAUUGAUUGUUCACUUCAUUCUUGAUUGAUCUUUUUAUUUGCUGCAUACCUGUGAUAUUGUGUUUUUUUUUUUGCUCCAAAAACUGCCACUAACCUGUGAUGGUUGAUCAUACCAUGCCCCUGUGAUUAUUCUUGAUUUUCUUCAUCAAUUAUUGUUGUUGUUGUUUUCUAUUAUUGAUGGUAGUGAUUCUUAUUUAUAUUCAUAAAUUCCGCUGCCUAUAUUGAUUCAACAUUAGGUUGAAAUUUAAGAAGUUUCUUCAUUCCUUAUGAUGAUUUAAUAUAGGUAAUGGACACUGUUGUCACAAUCAGGAAUUUUUGUGCAUUGUAACUACAACACUUAAGUCAAAUUAUGAAUCCAAAAACAUAAGAGCAUGUAUGAUGCUUACUUUAUGACAACAAAAUUGCAAUCAAAUACACCAUACAAGCACUACAAAUAGUCGUUAAACAAUUGGAAACCCUAGGAGUUCUUGUUUAAGUCCAUUUUGGACUAGGACUUCUUUAUUGGGCCCCAAAGGACCAAUAAGCUUCCAAUUUGGCUACCUUGGGCUUAGAACUCUUAAAUGGGCUCUAAUUGGACCCACUCUCAUUCAUUUUAACAUUUUGGGCCAUAUUGGGCCUAGAAUGAAAUAAGACACCUUAAUGGACCUCACUGGGGCAUAACUAACCUAAUUAGCCCUAAAGGGCCAUAAGAAUCAUAUUCAUAUUUAUUUGGGCCGUAAAUUUCUCUAAAAGGGCCAAUGGGACAAAAACCAUUAACUUGGACUCCAUAUUAUGGACUUAAACAUAAAAGGCCCAAAACCCCAUCUCUCUUCCCUAUCUCUCAGCCCAAACCAUAAACCCAAGAGGAAAGGGGGUUGACUUUGCUUGCCACCUCAUUAUUGUAUGAAGGAUAUCUAGGCUUUUGCACUUCAAACAUCCAUGCAAUCUCAUCUUCCUAUGCAAGCACUUCCUUUUCUCCUUCUCUCUCUUGCUCUCGGCCGAGUUCAAGCACACACACAUUUCACUCACUUUUCUCUCAAGAAAACUCUCCCAUACCUCCUCCAUAUUUUCGAGAUUCAAGGACUUUGCAAGGAGGAUUCUUCACAAAAAUCAUCAUCUAGGUAAGUUGAUGCUUGAAUCCACACUCUAGACUCCUUGUCCUAUACAAAAAUCUCUUCUUAACUCAUAUGAAAUCAUGAUCUUGCAUCUUAGAAUCACCUCAAAUUCGAGAUCUUCAUCAAGGUGUUGCUAGGGCCGAAAAUCACCUCACUUUCUUCCUUUUCUUCUUCAAAUCAAAACCACAACUCAAGGUGAGCUUCAUACCCCCUAUUUUUCGGUUUUUAUAAGUUUUGUGGGGGAGAAUACAAGCAAAUGUGUAGAUCUAUGAGUAUAUGUAUGCCUUGUGUGAUUUCUAUGCUUAUAUAUAUGAUCAUAUGUGAUUGUGGUGUUGGUACUAGUCAAAAAGAACUUAGAAACCGAGAUCUACAAUAUGUUGAAUGAAAUAAGUAUAACUUAUAUUAUUUCACACAAAUCAAUUCUAGAAAAAUAACCAAGUUGGUUAAUAUGAACAUCUUUGGGCUUAAAACCCAUUUUUGGGCUCAAAAUGCUAAAAAUACAAAACUAAAGGGCCCAAAACGACAAAAUACAAAUUCUGAAGGUUGAGAUGAGUCAAAACAGUUUCUAAAAUGUAUUUUCUGAAAAUUUACACUUUUGAAGGGUUAAAAUGUGAAUUUUUAAACAUAAUGGGCCAAAAAUGGACUUUUCGGCCCAAUAAAGCCCCAAAUUGCGAGAUUUUUAAUUUGGAGGGGCUGAAACUGCACAUUUCUGUAAAACAGGGGACUACUAGUGUACCAAGUCCAUUUCAAGGGUUAAAAAUGCUUUUCAAAUUUAAAAGGGACCAAAGAUGCAAAAAUUUUCCAUUUUGGGUCAAAAUUGUAAAAAUUGCGAAAAUAGAGGUUUCAACCGAGAAAAUUUCAUUUUGAGGGACUAAAACUGUUUUUCAAGUAAAUUUGGGCUGAAAAAUAUCCUUUCAACAAGUUUUGAUACUAAAGUGUCAAGAAAAAUGGUUUAAGGACUAAAAUGGAAAGUCUCUUAUAUGAAGGGUUAAAAGUGUAAAUUUAUCCAAGAAGGGGCUUCAAAAAGAAAAACUCUAAUGUUUAAAACAAUAAAUCCUUUAAGAUAAAAUACGAGUACCACGACUACCGGCGAAACGUAAUACACCUUCAACACCAAAAAUCGUUACCAAACAAAUUGAUUCGGUCUCGAAUCAAUAACGAAUCAAAAAUCAAUAAACGAUGAUACUUCAAUACACACGCGAAAAUUUACGGGAAGUCAAUACACACGUGGGAAUUCACCAGACGUCGAUACACCAUCUUUGGGCCCGAAAGUUUCAAAUCGUGCUUGUUGGGCCUAGCUAGCCCAAUGACAUGAUCUUUAGGCCCGAAGGAAACGCGCUUACAUGUUGUUGGGUCUUAUACGACCUAACUCCGUGUAAAAGGACUUUCAAUAGCUUUCGUGCUGUUGGGCCCCAAGGGUCCUUUGGUACUGCUAGUGAAGUCAAAUGCGAGUCGGGCCAAGGGCCUUUCGCAUUCACGAUAGCCUUGAACGACUCAUGGAAAUAACGGGGGCUUCGCACCCUCUUUUCUCCUAGGUUGUGGGGCUAUGAGAAGUCAGGGUGGUUGGAUUAAGUGGGUAGUACGGACGACGCCUAAGGGAUCGUUUGUAUAGUUGUAACCUAGUCAUUUUCAUUAAUGCGUGAUUAUGACAACUCACGACCCAUAAUUAAUCCAAUGUCACCUGGAAUUAUCGAAUACACAUGUCGCAACGACAUAACAAUAUAUAAAACGCGUAAUUUAAAGUAUUAGGAAAACAUCGGGUUUUCCUAGGGAUUUCAACACUUAGACCUAUGUGAUGCAUACCAAGUCUAACAAUUAUUUACACUUAUAGAAAUAAACAAGCAUACUUACGGAUCUUCACACUUUUUCUUACUUACAGUAAUCUUUUCAGAAAAUAUCGGAUUUUCUGGUGGUUUUCAAAAUAAUACAAAACACUGUGUUUCAAACAUUACUUAUGAACUCACCAACAUUUCAUAUGUUGACGUUUUUCCAAAAUACUUGUAUUCUCAGGUAACAGGUAAAUCGAAGAAAAUGUACCCAGUGAUAUCAUAAUGUUUUGUUUAACUAAUAUCGAACAAUUUAUGUUUUGGAAUUGUAAUGUGUAAAAACAAUGUACUGAACGUAAACACUGAUGGUUGUAACACUUCAAUGCAUGGUGACGAAUGAUGUUAUGAUUCAUGUAUAUUCAUUGUGAUGGUAUUCAAUUGAGUCACAGCAGCCCUCGGACGUUUCCGCCGUCUGGUUAGGGGGUGUGACAACUGUCAAUGUUCAUGAUAUUGAUAUUGAUACACCCAAAGUGAAAGUUACAAAUAAGUUUAAUUGGGAUCCUCAUACAUUCAAGAUAUUUCUUGAGGAAUGUAUGACCGAGCUAAAAAACGGGAAUAUACCGGGUACUUAUUUCAAACAACCCGCAUGCCAAAAUAUAUGUAAGAGGCUUCUGGAAUGAACGGGUAAAAAAUUGGACAUAAAUCAAAUGAAAAAAAAUGGGACAUUAUGUGGAAAGAGUUCAAAUAUUACGACCGUUUAACAAGACUAGAAACGGGAAUUUCAGUUGAUCCCGUGAGAAAUACAACCUCAACAUCAAAGAAUAGUGGGAUGAGAAAAAAAAAAGGUAAUAAUUAAAAUUUGUAUCUAACAAUAUAUUAUUUGUAUUGUGUUUUUCGGGACAUUCUCAAUUUGUAAAUAUAGGAAGACAAAGAGUUUGCUAAGUUUAAGGAUAAGAAUUUGGAUAUAUAUCAGACAUAUUAUGAGGCUUUAUUUCGGGAUACUGUAGCUGUUGGAGACAAGGCUAAGGUACCUUGCGAAUUUGGCGACAGUAGCACUUCGGAUGAUGUAGAGUUUGUGGAUAUUACGGAUGGAAAAGAGGAUACUGACGAAGUCCGCUUAUUUGAUGAUGUUGAUCCUUUUAUCACAAUUAAUAGUUCUAGUAUGAAUAGGAGUGGAAAGAAAUUAACUCCCAGGCAUGACAAGAAAAGAAAAUUUGAAGGAAAAAGUGAAGGAAAAAGUAUGGCAAAAUCGUCAUAUGAAGAGAAACUCGACACUCUUUUUGAUGUUCUGUUAACAAGGAGCACUCAACCCUCAAGACAAACCAAAUGGUCACCCACAACAGAAGAAUGCAUGGAAAUUGUCUCUACUUUCCCGGGUUUUGAAGAAGGCUCAAUAGGAUAUUUAGAAGCGUUAGAGGUCUUUUUAAAGAAACCAACUUGUCAAAAUUUUAUGGUUCCAAAGAGUAAUGAAACAAAGAUGGAGUUUCUCAAGAGGCUUAUAGAGAAAGAGAAGUAGUUAAAGACAGACUGUACUUUUAUGUCAUAUGUUAGACUUAUCCUUUUAUGUCAUGUGUUAGACAUACUCUAAUUUUUUGGUCAAUUUUUCCCUUGCCACAUGAUUAUGUUUUGUUUCCUUUUCUAUGAUUUUAUCUAUUAGGUAGACUUUAAAUGGUUGUCAUGUUUCAGACCUAUUCUUUCAACUAUUAUGUUAAAUUUAAACGGUUGUUUUGUGUUUGUUUUAUGCAAUGUCGUUUGAUGUUUGUUUUGUGGUCAAUUUUUCCCUUGCCCCAUGAUUUUGCUCUUAUUUUCUUUUCAAUUAUGUUGCCAUGAUUUUAUCUAGUAUGUGGUAAAUUUCAAUCUUACCCUUAUUUCCUUUUCGUUAGUAACAGGUUAUAUUCAUGACCAGUAAGUGUGAAAGUGACAACUUGUAACGCCCCGAUUUCCCGAGGAUCAAUUUAUGGGUAUAAAUUACCUUGAGUUUAGGGCUACUUGACGAGUUGGUUGCCUGACUCGCCGAGUAGGAGCUGGAGGAUGAAACCCUAAUCUUCAGAGUUUUGCAUCCUAUUUAAAAAAUCAUAAGACCCCUUAACCUCCCUUGCAGCCCCUUGAGAGCCAGAAAACCCUAGUUUCGUGUGAGAACUUCAUUUGAGUGUGUUUGAGCUUUGGAAGGUGAAGUUGGCUCAAAGAUCAAGAAGCUAGCAGCAAGAAAACUCGUGUGGAUCUAUAAACUUACGUCCUCUAGCUUCGUUUUGAGGUAUCAAUUCGUGAUCCUAGCUCUAUUUUCCUUCUAGAUCUCUCUUGGGUGAAGUUAGGGUUCUUACAUUGAUUAUGGAGCUAUUUCUUGGUGUAUAAGCUAGAUCAGAAGUUGCAACUUUAGAUCUGGGCCCUUCUUGGUUUACAAGUUCAUAAAGUCUUAGCAUUUGGAUAGAAUGAACCCUUCUUAAGGAGUUAAACCCCAUAACAAGCUUGGAUUUGUCAUUUAGAGCCUCUAGAGCCUUGCAUACACGUAAAGCUUGCAACUUUACGUGAUAAACGUGUAUUGGGAAGCUGGAUCUACAUUUUGGAGCCUAUGCAUUGUUCAAAACCUGUUUGUAUGGAUGAAGGACUGUAGGGACUCGACGAGUCGCUCGAUAGACUCGACGAGUCACAUGAACAUAGGCAUGAACUCGACGAGUUGGAAGAACAACUCGACGAGUCCCAUGAAGAUUGCCUAAAACUCGAUGAGUCAGCAGGAUGGAUCGGCGAGUCCGUUAGAGUUUUUCCCCGUCUCUAGAUGCGCGUAGACUUGUCGAGUUGUAAGUGAGAAACUCGACGAGUGGCCAUUGAGUUUCAGUCGCGAACCGUGGGAACUCGACGAGUCACUUUGGUGACUCGGCGAGCAGGCAAGUAUUAUAAGGAACUCGACGAGUUGCCAUGGGCACUCGACGAGUUGAGGUCAACAUGGGCUGUUGACCUUGAUAGUUGACUUUGACUUUGACCAAGGGUUGACCGUUUUGACUUUUGAGUGUAUUUGGUACGCGGAUGUUUAUGGAUUGGGUAAUUAAUGGUUAUAGGUGUUGGAGUUUGGGGCAGUGUUCCAGGAGCGUGAUUUCGUGGUGCAGUCCGACAUUGCAAGGUGAAUUAUCCUCACCAUAUCAACAGGGUCUAAGGCACCAAGGCCGACCCUUUCUCACAUUAUAUGCUGGUAUUGGCUUGAUAUGCUUAUUGAUCUGUUAGAUCGGCAUCCUGGUAGUUAGGAUGGUACUAUGCUUAGUGAUCUGGUUUAGGUCGAUAUCCUGGUAUAUAGGAUGAUGCUAUGUUUAGUGACCUGGUUUAGGUCAGUAUCCUGGUUAGGAUGUUGUUAUGCUAUAUGAUUUGCUAGAUCGAUUUGUUUAUAUAUGGAUUGUUAUGUGAUUAUCUGUUUAUGUGCACAUGAUUGUUGGUAUGGGGGUUGGGUUGAGGCAGGUCCUGCUUCGUGCUAUAGGCCAACAUACCCAGGGCGGACCGGAUAGACUGUAAACCCGGAAGGGCACAUAGUUAGGUCGAAGGCCCAGCGAGCGGUCCGGAUAGGCUGAAGGUCCGAGAGGGCGGUCCAGACAUGCCGAGGCUUAGAGAGUGGGCCAGAUAGACUGAAGGCCCGGUGAGGGCGGUCCAGUCACACUGUAGACUCGAUAUGCAUGGUUGUUCUGUAUUUGAUAUAUGAUAUGGUUAUAGUAUUAUGAGGUUGGUAUUUGUCACACCCCAAAACCGAGAAUGUCGGAAACGUUCUGGGGUGGAGGACGUCAUGUAUGUAUCACAACAAUGUAAAGUAGUAAACAAGCAACAACAUCAUCCAUUACAUUAAUAGAAUAAUUCUGUUUACAAGUGUGUUCUUUCAUAGUAUAAAACAACAUAAUGAAUACUCAAAAUAACAAACGAGUCUUGACUACUCCGUCUUCUCUAAACCUUGCAUUGGUACCUGCCUAUUUGUAACCUGAGAAUACAAUUUAGUUUGAAAGCGAGUAUCAGCAAUAAAGCUGGUGAAUUCAUAAGUAUUUUAAUGUUAUUGCUUUGAAAAGUUGUUAUGAAAGACUGGUGAAUGUUUGAUGAAACAUUUAGUAUAAGUAUGAAAACCCUAGAAAAUCCCAUAUUUCCUACUAGUAUAAAAAUAGUCUUCUACCAAGACCCGAAUGUUUUGAAAGUAGUCUUCUACCAAGACCUGACCGUUUUGAAAGUAGUCUUCUACCAAGACCUGAAUGUUUUAGAAGUACGCAUCACUGUAAAUGUGACGGUUUUUCCCCUGUUUAACUAUUAUUAUAAAACUAUAAAAGUAAUAAUAUAUUAACUUAUGUUGUAUCCUUUGGUACUAAGAUAUUCCAGUAUGAUCUACCUCGUCGGUUAUGUGAACGUGACACAAAAUAAAGGUAACAAUAUAAUUAUAUAGGUAUUAGUCUACCCCAUCGUUAUGGGAAUGUAUCACAAAAUAAAGGUAACAAUAUAAUUAUAUAGGUAUUAGUCUACCUCGUCGUUAUGUGAAUGUAUCACAAAAUAAAGGUAAUGAGCUAAUAACUUAAGUAUUAUCCUUUGGUAGUAGAAUAAACACAGCGUGGAAACUCGCCGUAAAUGGAUCAACCGUAGACAUCCGUAGAUGUGCAUUUACCUCUGUUGCUAACGGCUGGGUGUAGGAAUAGUUAGUCCCUUAAGUAUACUUGUAAUGGUAUCAAUCGUANCCGUAGACAUCUAUAGAUGUGCAUUUACCUCUGUUACUAACAACCGGGUUUAGGAGUGGUUAACCCCUUAUAGUAUCCUUUGGUACUAGGAUAGACAUAUCUAAUCUAAUAAUAUCUACGCAUAUAAUAUGUAAUAGUAUCUUAUCAUAUAGUAUCUAUGUAAAAGUAUCCCUGUAAGAGUAUCCAUAUAAGUGUAUCCAUGUAAGAGGAAUCUCUGUAAGAGUAUCCCUUCAUAUAGCAUGUAGUAUAGACUCAUGAAUGAACUGACUUUGGUGUAAUUCCUUGUAAUAGGAAUAAUGUUUUGUAUCCCCUAAACUAUUCCUAUAAUAGUUUACUGGAAUGUAAUUGAUGAGUGUCCAAGUAGGUUUAUACACCCUUGCUACCCAAGAGUUUCGGAACUGAACUAACUGAUGGAACUUUUAUGUCUAUAUAGGUAUACAUGAUAUAUAUAACUAAUAUUUAGACGACAUUCGGACGAAUAACUGAUACCCUAAGGCCACAUCCCAACGAGAACAAAAAAAGAAA